rnacentral:rRNA from 1 species
ACGCUCGACACCUACGGGGGCAGCAGUGGGGAAUAUUGCACAAUGGGGGAAACCCUGAUGCAGCGACGCCGCGUGAGCGAAGAAGUAUUUCGGUAUGUAAAGCUCUAUCAGCAGGGAAGAAACUGACGGUACCUGACUAAGAAGCACCGGCUAAAUACGUGCUAGCAGCCGCGGUAAUCUGAGCGGGCUGGCAAGGC